CAAUACCUCCCAUUUGGACAGGCGUAAUGUGAAAGUUUUUUAACUCCAGACCCUUUGUCUGCUGCGUUUGCACAGGGGACAGAGAGAGCAUACUCAGGACAGAGGGAGCAUACUCAGGACAGAGGGAGCAUACUCAGGACAGAGGGAACAUACUCAGGACAGGGAGCGCUUCCCGAAGGAGCAUCCCUGCGACCUUUAGUAUCUCCGUGCCUGCUGCCCGCGCGGGGCCGCCCUUCCCGCGGCCGCCCAGCGGGUGGCGCUGGCGAGUCGCCGACGGAGCGCGGCGGGGGCUGCGCGGGAGCGGAGCGGGAACGGAGCGGGAGCGGGGACGGAGCGGAAACGCACCGGGAGCGGGGACGGAGCCGGGAGCGGGAGCGGGAGCCCGGUCUGGCGCGGCGGCCCCGUCGUGGGUGGCGGGAGGCUGCGGAGAAGGGAUUGAAAGCGCAGGAACUCAAACGCCACGGGAAGGCUGUUUUCCAAUACAAUGUUUGCUGCACUCCCCAAAGCACUGGAGAUCUACAGCUAUGACAAGAAACAGGUUUCUCUCUUUUUGUAAUCACAUGGUUACUUUGGUGAUGCCUCAAGUGCAACUCGGCCUUCUCUAGUGGUAACACGUGGCAGUCUAGCACCUACCUCUCCUGAGGCGUCAAAAAUUGCACCAGUGAAGAGGAGCCUUAACUAAACUUACCAGCAGGACUGUGCCGCUUGCACUGUGCCGUGACAUCCAACAGGUACGUUCUGUGCUCAGAGUCUCACUAAUGGGCUCCACACUUGCCAGCAGCAUGAGACUACACGUGAGAAAAUGGAGUAUCACUGGACAUUCCUCAUUUUAAUGGUAGUUCUGGAAAUGCUGAAAACUUUCUGCAUAAAACCAGAUGAGGGAAAGAUCCUUAGUGCUACAAUAAUAGUCUUUAACCCAAGGAUAUAACUUGUUUGGGUUAUUAUUGUUGGGGGUUUUUUUAGGAAAUAAUAUUUUCCAGCUUUUUUUCUGCUCCCUUGCAUUGUCCCUUGGAAGGCUGCUAAUAUUGCAGUGUCCAAGCCCUGAGUUUUGUUUGGCCCCUGCCAUUGAACACGUGUGAUGGUGGCCACAGUACUGCCAGGAGACACAGCAACACCCACAUGCACAUGAAGGAAAAUUACAAUAACAACUUUCCAAAGGAAUCUGCUAAUCAUUUUUGUUUUACCUUUUCAAAUGCUGCUGGUGACUCAGGCUUGACAUGACUCCCAUAAUCUUCACACAUAAUUAAGCAAUUUAUACCUUGUAUCUGUGGGUAGACGCUGCUGUCAACACUCAGGCCGGUUCUGGAAAUGGCUGAAUUGUUUUCUUGGGGAAAAACGAACUAACAAACAACAACCACCUCUUGCUUUCUGCCACCUUUGAUUAAAUAAUCUUAAAUAACAAGACUGUACAGUAGGGAAAUUUACUUGUGUGGGCCAUUGCUUUUGAAGCUGAUGUGACAGCUUGUUGCACGACUCUGUACACGUUCUUCCAUUUCACGGUGAUGAAUGCGAGAGAUGAGUGGAACGAGAAGUUUUUCACUUUUGUUACUCUAAACUGAUAAAAUGAGCUUUGUCGGCUGUGAUGUUACACUGAUAUCAGUGUUU
ensembl:lncRNA